AUGACGGCCACUACCUGUUGGAAAACAAGCAUAGAUCAUGUUAGCAUUUGCUUGAAUGUUUCCAUUUGGCUAUCUGUCCGGAGAGUUUGAUAGGCUAUUGUUACAUGCGUAAACGUUCCCAUUUUAGAUACGCGCGUAAUGAACGGUCUAAAUUCACUGUUGGUUUAAUGAUCUGACAGUUCAGGAUAUUUUGUAUGUUGUGUGUAGACAAUGAGCACUUGCAGUUUAUGCAUAUUGCAGUUCAUAAUUUGAUCACCUCAUAUAAAGUUGCAGUUUUGCAGACCUUUGUAUUUAUCUGUGCAACCAAGGUUGGUUAAUCCUUGACAAACCACGACUUAAUUUGUUCAUAUUAAAGUUAUCAGAGUCGUGUGGUGCUUGUAAUAGCCAACGACGUGGUCAUUUGAAUCGCAUACAGACGCAUUUCAUUUCGUCAAGGUAGACUUAUGGCUCAGGGGCAAUAUAUUUUAAUAUCUGGACAAAUACUUUAACAUUUACAUUUACAUUUAAGUCAUUUAGCAGACGCUCUUAUCCAGAGCGACUUACAAAUUGGUGCAUUCACCUUAUUAACCAUUAAUAUCCAAUUAUCGCUUGGUUCAAGCCAUUAAUUAUACACAAUUAUUUUAAUUGGGGUAGGGUGUAAUUAUCACUCGUUCACGUAAUGAAGCGUAACGGAUGCCUUAUGAAGGGAUGUAUUUACUUACUUUCCCUGUGAUCGCAGCAAAAGCGCAAAUCCCCUUUGAAAGCGCUGCGUUGAGAGAUCAUUGCGUUGAUGAAACGCUUUGGAGAUGAUACAACAAGAUGUGUUCCGCGCCGGGAUGGGAACCUGAAAUCACAGAGGUCCCGUGUGGCUCAGUUGGUAGAGCAUGGCACUUGCAAUGCCAGGGAUGUGGGUUUUAUUCCCACGGGGGACCGUGGGAAUAAAGUGUAAGAAGUAAGAAAAUGUAUGCAAAUCGCUCUGAUUAAGAGCGUCUGCUAAAUUACGAAAAUGUAUUAUAUUGAACGGUAAUGAUAGGCUAUUCUGUCAAUACCAAUGCUUUAGCUAGGUCUACUGAAUUAUCUCAUUCGGUUAGCCUAUGAAUUUUAGCAGCCACUUUAGUUCUUUUUAACUAGGCCUACUAUUUGUUGGACCAUGUUGGUUAAUAUUUAGGCUACGUUGUUAACCCGUGUUGCCUCCGCCUCCUUACGUGAAAUUCGCUAAUCAAACACUUUUCUCGUGGCAGGUAGCCUAGAGUGUUGGGCCAGUAACCGAAAGGCUGAUAUAUCGAAUCCCGAGUUGACAAGGUCUAUUUUCAUUGGCCAGUUCUGGAUCUGCGAUACAGAAUCCUCAGAUCCUCAAAAAGUUCUACAGCUGCACCAUCGAGAGCAUCCUGACUGGUUGCAUCACCACCUGGUAUGGCAACUGCUUGGCAUCCGACCACAAGGCGCUACAGAGCGUAGGGCCUAGUACAUCACUGGGGCCAAGCUUCCUACCAUUCAGGACCUCUAUAACAGGCGGUGUCAGAGGAAGGCCCUAAAAAUGGCUAAAGACUCCAGCCAUUAGCCUUGUAUUGUCAUUUUAUUGUGUUACUUUUUUAAACUUUAGUUCAUUUAGUAUAUAUUUUCUUAACUCUUAUUUUUCUUAACUGCAUUUUUGAUUGAAAGUAGGCAUUUCAAUACACCUGUUGUAUUCGGCGCAUGUGACAAAUACGAAUUGAUUUGAUUUGGGGAAGUUCACUACGGGUUACUGGGGGCAAAGAAUAUUUAUAAUAUGAAUGUCUUGAUUUAAAUUAAACCAAAAAAGGUAUAUGUCCAUUAUUAUUAUAUGUCCGUUAUUCGGCUGAUUGAAAAUGUAGGUCGGCCUAUUCAAGUCAUUCAAAUAGUUAGUCGUUUUCGAAAUAUCAUGGUGCUCAAUUGCUCAUUGACUGUAUCUUAAAUCUAUCACCAUAACCUCGAAGAUAAGCUUGAUAUAAGAGCGCAUUGGGACUCAUAUUUACUCCAGUCAAUUUAUACAUAUUCAAUUGUACAUAAGAAUAUUAUACAACAGAAUGAACUGCCUCAAGUCUUGCCCAAGGCUAAGGAGGCUGUGAUAAUUCAAAUUCAGUCAAGAAUUUCAUUUAUCCACACGCAAUUCAAUUUUUUUUUAAAGUGACGCUGCACUUAAUGCAGUCUGUGAUAAGGAUCAACUGGAUGUAUUUAAUUGAAUAUUAACUGUAAUUGCUAACAUGCUUGAGAAGUAAGCUGCAUUGUGUGCACUUGAAGUUCAUUGACUUCAUUACCCUUGACAAUACUUAAUACAAUGUCACUUAAUCACUUAAUCAUGUUAAUUUGUGAUAUAGUAAGACCUUAAAUUAUAUAGUUGUAACCUACACAACAAUGUAAUAGGCCUGGUAAACUGUUAUUUUCUAUUGUUAUUUUAUAAUGUUAGGCCUAUCGAAAUUAUAUUAUGAAUGAUUUUGACAGUUGUAUUAUUACCACGUUUUUUUCAAUAUUUGAUGGCGUUCAAAUACAGAUCUCUAUUAGGCCAUAGCACCAUUACUAAAGAAUGUAUCUGUUUUGUAUCAUUGCGUUUUACUUGUCAUGUAUUGUUGUUUAUAAUAACGUGUAUUUGAAUGUGGAUGUGUAGUUUAAUGUGUAUAUUGUUUUUUGAUGUGCAUUGUUGUGCUAAACAGGGCUCAUCUGGAGGAAAGGAGACGUUGGUCUCAGCAUUGAGUACGUAAAAAUAAAAUAAAUACAAAUGUGUUUUACUAACAAUUAAAUCAAAUGAGUGAAUCAAACACUCCAUCCAAAUAAAUAGGAAUUUGCCUUUUUUCCCCUUUUUGCUUGUAACAAGUCAUAAUCUGAGCAAUAAAAUCAGACCUAUAACACCGUGAA